AGAAGGUGGCUUGCACGUCAGAGUACCUUCUGACAGCCCCCACGCCCAGAUGGAGACGUUGGUAGUUGAUCAUGAGCUACACUAGCCACGCCAUAGGGGCAUAGAUAGGUCAGCCGCCUAAUCACUGACACAACAGUCCGCGCGUAUAAACACGCACCGAGCCGCAAUAUGUCGAGUGAUGGGAUGCUCAACGCGUCGUGCCACGUACUGAGCCAAAAUACAAAAGGAAACGUUGAUAUCCUGAGAAAGAUAGGUGCAAAC
rnacentral:lncRNA from 1 species